rnacentral:rRNA from 1 species
CCCUAGUAACUGCGAGUGAAGCGGGAAAAGCUCAAAUUUAAAAGCUGGUAGUCUCAGGCUGCCCGCGUUGUAAUCUAGAGAAGUGUUAUCCGCGCUGGACCGUGUACAAGUCUCCUGGAAUGGAGCGUCAUAGAGGGUGAGAAUCCCGUCUUUGACACGGACUGCCAGGGCUUUGUGAUGCGCUCUCAAAGAGUCGAGUUGUUUGGGAAUGCAGCUCAAAAUGGGUGGUAAAUUCCAUCUAAAGCUAAAUAUUGGCGAGAGACCGAUAGCGAACAAGUACCGUGAGGGAAAGAUGAAAAGAACUUUGGAAAGAGAGUUAAACAGUACGUGAAAUUGCUGAAAGGGAAACGCUUGAAGUCAGUCGCGUUGUCCGGGGAUCAACCUUGCUUUUGCUGGGCGUAUUCUCCGGUUGACGGGCCAGCAUCAAUUUUGGCCACUGGAAAAAGGCCAGGGGAAUGUGGCAUCUUCGGAUGUGUUAUAGCCCUUGGUUGCAUACAGUGGCUGAGAUUGAGGAACUCAGCACGCCGCAAGGCCGGGUUUUUAACCACGUUCGUGCUUAGGAUGCUGGCAUAAUGGCUUUAAUCGACCCGUCUUGAAACACGGACCAAGGAGUCUAACAUGCCUGCGAGUGUUUGGGUGGAAAACCCGAGCGCGUAAUGAAAGUGAAAGUUGAGAUCCCUGUCGUGGGGAGCAUCGACGCCCGGACCAGACCUUUUGUGACGGAUCUGCGGUAGAGCAUGUAUGUUGGGACCCGAAAGAUGGUGAACUAUGCCUGAAUAGGGUGAAGCCAGAGGAAACUCUGGUGGAGGCUCGUAGCGAUUCUGACGUGCAAAUCGAUCGUCAAAUUUGGGUAUAGGGGCGAAAGACUAAUCGAACCAUCUAGUAGCUGG